GGCGCGCGUCGCGCGGGCCCCGCCCCCGACGUGAGAGCCGGCCCCGCCCCGGGCUCCGGGGGCCCGUAGGGGACCCUCCCCUUCCUUGUGCGCGCUGGAACGGUUGUCCCGGGCGGCCGCGCGCAGUGACAGUGAGCGUGACGACGACCCGGCCGACUGGGUGCCCGGCCGCGGAAGCUGGAAGGGGACAGAACACGAGGUCAGCAGUCUGCAACACGGAAGAGGCUCUCGCCGAAGCCUGACCCUGCUGGCACCCUGAUGUAGGACUUCCAGCCUCCAGAACUAUUCUACAUAUGAGUGGAAUCCACAUAUGAGAGUUUAUAAGAUGGAGUGUCUCCUAAAAAAGCCCAUUUCUCUGACAACGGCUCUAAAAGGAGGAACCGUCCUUCGCAACAGACGCAUGCAUCUCUCAUUCCUCAUCCACUGAGUGUCAGACCCUGUUCUAGGUGCCACCUGGCUUCUGUCUCUCAACAAGCGUGCCUAACUCUUCCCUGAAGUCUCAACCAUGAUUUCAUUUUAAAAAAGGAGGCAAUUGCCUCAACCUGGGUCCGCUGGCCUUUCAGAGAUUCUAAAUUCCCUUUUGCAUGUCAGGCUGGGGUUAACGGCUCUUGCCGCCACUGAGAAAUCCGAGGGCUCUCCUGCCAGUGCUGAGCAGACACUUUGAAGGCUCACUUCCUGUCUCCUGCGUGUGAGAGUGGCCACUGGAGGCCACGGGAGGGAGGAGGGAAACCUCAGAAGGGUCGGCCCCAAAGCAGCAGCCGCGUGGACCGUCCUGUCUGGCUGCUUCCCCAGUAAAACCCAGGCAGGGGGAGAAAAGCCAGCGUUUUGAGACGGAAUGAGCAAAGGAGGGGAAACAUUGAAAAGUGCAUGAGCAGGGCCCCCGGGGAGGGAAGGGACGGGGGGGACAAGCAGGGGGGGAGAAGUGGCUCCAGAAACUGGGAAAGAGCCCGUCUUACUGGAAGAGAAGGAUGUACUGAAGGAGAGCGAGAAGGAAACAGAAAUCAGCCUGUCGGGUGGGCACUGGCAAGGACCACCUUUCUCAUUCUACAGACGAGGAAACUGAGGCCCGGAGAGGGGAAGUGGUUUGCACAAGGGCAGGGCCUGGAAGGAAUCAUCUGCUCUCUCGCUCUCUCUUCCCUUGCUCACCUCCCCUUCUGUGGUGAGGCAGUACUGGCAGACAGGCUGCUUGGAAGCCCUACACGGACAGGCGUGGGGCAGCCGUAAAGCACAGGAGGCUCCUGGGUGAGGUUUGAGUCUUGAUUCCAGGUCAGGAAAGGGAGAUCUUUGAGAUCUCUGCCCCCCUGCUGGCAACGCCCCUCAGAACUGUAGCUGGGGUCCCGGAGGAUGUAAAGCUGGCCGUGAGCUGGGGUUGUGUGCAGAGCUGGGGACCCCCGCAGCUGUGAACGCAGGUGCUCUCCGUCAGCACUCUUUGAAGAUACGCGCAUCUUUUCUAUUUCAGUAAAGAUCUUGUGGAAAAACCCGCACAAAACGUUUGACCAAUCUAAUAAUUAGCAUCCUCACAGAGAGACCUCGGAGAUAAGAGAUGCAGGCCCCUGCCUUCUGCUCUGUUUCCACCUCCUCCGGGGACACUCUUCCUGUCUGCGGAGUUCAUCUUGGCUUCGCAUUGUUCCUGCUCACUGGUAUUUUUAACUCUACCUUUCUAGUAUUUUUAUAGUACCUUUCUAGUACCUGAGCCGGCUCAGCCUGGAUCUCAGUUAUGUGGACCUCCGUCUGCUUCCUUCUCUGGAUUGGACAUUCUCCAAGGCCAGGAGGUCCCCGUCUCGUUCAUACCUGUGCAUCGCCCACCUCUGUCAGUGCACAAAUAUGGGAUGCUUUGGAGUUUGAAACCAGCUGUCCAAGCUGGAACAUUUGCCAUGAGCUCUCCAAGAGUUCUGAAGGGUGGAAAGAAGAGGGAUUUGGGUGCCGGAAAUGGAAGGUUAUUCUAAGAACGGGUGUGGCAGGAAAGACAAAUAUAGCUGGUGGAGUGGAGAGUGAGUGGGAGGAAAGAAAGUGGAAGUGGAAGAGAAGGGGCGGAGAGUGAGUGAGCAGAGAAGUAGGAAGGAAGCGGAGACACAGCCCACAGGGCAGUGCAGGCUCCAGGCUCAGCCCUGCCCGCCAGAGCUUGCUUGCUGUAGACGCCCAAAACCUCAGCCUCAGACCUUCCUGCCCUUUCUUUGUCUCUCAUUCUAAUGCUGGGUCAUUGAAAAAGAUCUUUGGCUUAAUUUCCACCAAUACUCUGAUUUUGGACAUUUGUCAAUAAGAGGUCAUGGCCGUGGCACGCCAUGCCAUCCUACUAAGAGGAAAAUAAAUACCUCAAUAUAAACAA